UUGUGCACAUCUUACAUGUACAUUGUCUAAAGAAGAUGCGUGUGUUUGUGCUGUCAUUUCCCCCCUUUGUAACCCACAUCACCGCCCGCAGAGGCUCUCCAGUCAUCGCUCACCACCACCAUUCUGUACCAAAUCGACGUCGGUGACCUAACACUACAAGACCACCACAAGCCAAGCAAUGGUUUUUGUCAGGCUAUUAAGUAUGUUUAGCUUAAUCGUAGUGUUCAUUCGUUGGAAUUGUUGUUGACUUCGUGAUGGUGGGUAUGCUUACAGUAAGAAGAUGGAGUACAAAAAUUUUGAACUCCGGUGAUCGAUUUGGUUAUUGUUAUACACAAUCUUAGGUUGUUUCACUGGCAGUGCAUGAUUUUGAAAGGACAAUUUUGUUGCUCCAUGCUCACCAUUUAUCUCAUGGUUACUGGGAAUAUGAUGGAUCAUCAUAUCUGCAUCUUCGAUAUCAUGGUGACAAGGUAGCAUGUCGGGCAUGUUGUGUACAGGUAAAUCUUGUUGUGGGUCGGUGAUGCGGGCCCAAGUGUGGAGGAACGGGCUAUUUUGUAUUUGGAGGCCCAAGACCGCGUAACAAAAGGGGCUUCACUAAAAUGGCUCUAAUUUGGGCUACGGGGGUCCGUUUUGGACGUGCGAC